rnacentral:rRNA from 1 species
AGAGUUUGAUCCUGGCUCAGGACGAACGCUGGCGGCGUGCCUAAUACAUGCAAGUCGAACGCUUCUUUUUCCACCGGAGCUUGCUCCACCGGAAAAAGAGGAGUGGCGAACGGGUGAGUAACACGUGGGUAACCUGCCCAUCAGAAGGGGAUAACACUUGGAAACAGGUGCUAAUACCGUAUAACAAUCGAAACCGCAUGGUUUUGAUUUGAAAGGCGCUUUCGGGUGUCGCUGAUGGAUGGACCCGCGGUGCAUUAGCUAGUUGGUGAGGUAACGGCUCACCAAGGCGACGAUGCAUAGCCGACCUGAGAGGGUGAUCGGCCACAUUGGGACUGAGACACGGCCCAAACUCCUACGGGAGGCAGCAGUAGGGAAUCUUCGGCAAUGGAUGAAAGUCUGACCGAGCAACGCCGCGUGAGUGAAGAAGGUUUUCGGAUCGUAAAACUCUGUUGUUAGAGAAGAACAAGGAUGAGAGUAACUGUUCAUCCCUUGACGGUAUCUAACCAGAAAGCCACGGCUAACUACGUGCCAGCAGCCGCGGUAAUACGUAGGUGGCAAGCGUUGUCCGGAUUUAUUGGGCGUAAAGCGAGCGCAGGCGGUUUCUUAAGUCUGAUGUGAAAGCCCCCGGCUCAACCGGGGAGGGUCAUUGGAAACUGGGAGACUUGAGUGCAGAAGAGGAGAGUGGAAUUCCAUGUGUAGCGGUGAAAUGCGUAGAUAUAUGGAGGAACACCAGUGGCGAAGGCGGCUCUCUGGUCUGUAACUGACGCUGAGGCUCGAAAGCGUGGGGAGCAAACAGGAUUAGAUACCCUGGUAGUCCACGCCGUAAACGAUGAGUGCUAAGUGUUGGAGGGUUUCCGCCCUUCAGUGCUGCAGCUAACGCAUUAAGCACUCCGCCUGGGGAGUACGACCGCAAGGUUGAAACUCAAAGGAAUUGACGGGGGCCCGCACAAGCGGUGGAGCAUGUGGUUUAAUUCGAAGCAACGCGAAGAACCUUACCAGGUCUUGACAUCCUUUGACCACUCUAGAGAUAGAGCUUCCCCUUCGGGGGCAAAGUGACAGGUGGUGCAUGGUUGUCGUCAGCUCGUGUCGUGAGAUGUUGGGUUAAGUCCCGCAACGAGCGCAACCCUUAUUGUUAGUUGCCAUCAUUUAGUUGGGCACUCUAGCAAGACUGCCGGUGACAAACCGGAGGAAGGUGGGGAUGACGUCAAAUCAUCAUGCCCCUUAUGACCUGGGCUACACACGUGCUACAAUGGGAAGUACAACGAGUCGCAAAGUCGCGAGGCUAAGCUAAUCUCUUAAAGCUUCUCUCAGUUCGGAUUGUAGGCUGCAACUCGCCUACAUGAAGCCGGAAUCGCUAGUAAUCGCGGAUCAGCACGCCGCGGUGAAUACGUUCCUGGGCCUUGUACACACCGCCCGUCACACCACGAGAGUUUGUAACACCCGAAGUCGGUGAGGUAACCUUUUGGAGCCAGCCGCCUAAGGUGGGAUAGAUGAUUGGGGUGAAGUCGUAACAAGGUAGCCGUAUCGGAAGGUGCGGCUGGAUCACCU